AUGUUUCCUUUGGCGUGCAGCCACCAGUCCAUGAGCGUAGGCUCCUGGUUAGGCGUCGGGGCUGGGAUGCACAGCCAGGCCAGGACCUCGUGCCAGGCCUGCCGGGCGAGGGGGCACUCAAACUUCUCUCCUUUUGGUGCAGCCACGGGUCAAGUUAAACUUCUCUACCAGGAACCUAGUUUUGUCCUAAGUCAAACUUUUCUACAAGUCCACAGAAAAAGAGAGAAUUCCUUAUUUGGCCCUUUCUUAAAAUCCGCUUCCUUAUUUGGCCCGAAAAAAUAUUUUCUUCUUUAUUUGACACUAGAUGUAAAUUUUAUUACCUAUUUGACACUUCCGUCCAUUUUUGGCACCAGCGGUGUUAAAUGUGACAUGAAAAGACUUUUUGCUCCUGAUAUUGUAUUUAGGUGA
rnacentral:rRNA from 1 species